rnacentral:rRNA from 1 species
AGAGUUUGAUCAUGGCUCAGGAUGAACGCUGGCGGCGUGCCUAAUACAUGCAAGUCGAACGAAACUUCUUUAUCACCGAGUGCUUGCACUCACCGAUAAAGAGUUGAGUGGCGAACGGGUGAGUAACACGUGGGCAACCUGCCCAAAAGAGGGGGAUAACACUUGGAAACAGGUGCUAAUACCGCAUAACCAUAGUUACCGCAUGGUAACUAUGUAAAAGGUGGCUAUGCUACCGCUUUUGGAUGGGCCCGCGGCGCAUUAGCUAGUUGGUGGGGUAAAGGCUUACCAAGGCAAUGAUGCGUAGCCGAACUGAGAGGUUGAUCGGCCACAUUGGGACUGAGACACGGCCCAAACUCCUACGGGAGGCAGCAGUAGGGAAUCUUCCACAAUGGGCGAAAGCCUGAUGGAGCAACGCCGCGUGGGUGAAGAAGGUCUUCGGAUCGUAAAACCCUGUUGUUAGAGAAGAAAGUGCGUGAGAGUAACUGUUCACGUUUCGACGGUAUCUAACCAGAAAGCCACGGCUAACUACGUGCCAGCAGCCGCGGUAAUACGUAGGUGGCAAGCGUUAUCCGGAUUUAUUGGGCGUAAAGGGAACGCAGGCGGUCUUUUAAGUCUGAUGUGAAAGCCUUCGGCUUAACC